rnacentral:rRNA from 1 species
GACGAACGCUGGCGGCGUGCUUAACACAUGCAAGUCGAACGAAGAGCGAUGGAAGCUUGCUUCUCUCAAUCUUAGUGGCGAACGGGUGAGUAACGCGUAAUCAACCUGCCCUUCAGAGGGGGACAACAGUUGGAAACGACUGCUAAUACCGCAUACGAUCUAAUCUCGGCAUCGAGGAUAGAUGAAAGGUGGCCUCUACAUGUAAGCUAUCACUGAAGGAGGGGAUUGCGUCUGAUUAGCUAGUUGGAGGGGUAACGGCCCACCAAGGCGAUGAUCAGUAGCCGGUCUGAGAGGAUGGACGGCCACAUUGGGACUGAGACACGGCCCAGACUCCUACGGGAGGCAGCAGUGGGGAAUCUUCCGCAAUGGACGGAAGGCUGACGGAGCAACGCCGCGUGAGUGAUGACGGCCUUCGGGUUGUAAAGCUCUGUUAAUCGGGACGAAAGGCCUUCUUGCGAAUAGUGAGAAGGAUUGACGGUACCGGAAUAGAAAGCCACGGCUAACUACGUG